rnacentral:rRNA from 1 species
CCUACGGGGGGCAGCAGUCGAGAAUCAUUCACAAUGGGGGAAACCCUGAUGGUGCGACGCCGCGUGGGGGAAUGAAGGUCUUCGGAUUGUAAACCCCUGUCAUGUGGGAGCAAAUUAAAAAGAUAGUACCACAAGAGGAAGAGACGGCUAACUCUGUGCCAGCAGCCGCGGUAAUACAGAGGUCUCAAGCGUUGUUCGGAAUCACUGGGCGUAAAGCGUGCGUAGGCGGUUUCGUAAGUCGGGUGUGAAAGGCGCGGGCCCAACCCGCGGACGGCACAUGUUACUGCGAGACUGGAGUAAUGGAGGGGGAGGCGGAAUUCCUGGUGUAGCAGUGAAAUGCGUAGAUAUCGAGAGGAACACUCGUGGCGAAGGCGGGUUCCUGGACAUUGACUGACGCUGAGGCACGAAGGCCAGGGGAGCGAAAGGGAUUAGAUACCCGAGUAGUC